rnacentral:rRNA from 1 species
UACGUAGGGGGCAAGCGUUGUCCGGAUUUAUUGGGCGUAAAGAGCGUGUAGGCGGCCAUACAGGUCAGCUGUGAAAACUCGAGGCUCAACCUCGAGACGUCGGUUGAAACCAUCUGGCUAGAGUCCGGAAGAGGAGAGUGGAAUUCCCGGUGUAGCGGUGAAAUGCGCAGAUAUCGGGAAGAACACCCGUGGCGAAGGCGGCUCUCUGGGACGGUACUGACGCUGAGACGCGAAAGCGUGGGGAGCGAACAGG